UGUGGCGAGUGGCGAACGAGUGAGUAAUGCAUCGGAACGUGCCAUUGAGUGGGGGAUAACGUAGCGAAAGUUGCGCUAAUACCGCAUAUUCUGUGAGCAGGAAAGCAGGGGACCGCAAGGCCUUGCGCUCUUUGAGCGGCCGAUGUCAGAUUAGCUAGUUGGUGAGGUAACGGCUUACCAAGGCGACGAUCUGUAGCGGGUCUGAGAGGAUGAUCCGCCACACUGGAACUGAGACACGGUCCAGACUCCUACGGGAGGCAGCAGUGGGGAAUUUUGGACAAUGGGGGCAACCCUGAUCCAGCCAUGCCGCGUGAGUGAAGAAGGCCUUCGGGUUGUAAAGCUCUUUCGGCCGGGAAGAAAUCGCAUGGGCCAAUACCCUGUGUGGAUACGGUACCGGAAUAAGAAGCACCGGCUAACUACGUGCCAGCAGCCGCGGUAAUACGUAGGGUGCGAGCGUUAAUCGGAAUUACUGGGCGUAAAGCGUGCGCAGGCGGUUUUGUAAGACAGGCGUGAAAUCCCCGGGCUCAACCUGGGAACUGCGUUUGUGACUGCAAGGCUAGAGUACGGCAGAGGGGGGUGGAAUUCCACGUGUAGCAGUGAAAUGCGUAGAGAUGUGGAGGAACACCAAUGGCGAAGGCAGCCCCCUGGGUCGAUACUGACGCUCAUGCACGAAAGCGUGGGUAGCAAACAGGAUUAGAUACCCUGGUAGUCCACGCCCUAAACUAUGUCAACUAGGUGUUGGGUGGGUAAAACCAUUUAGUACCGUAGCUAACGCGUGAAGUUGACCGCCUGGGGAGUACGGCCGCAAGGUUAAAACUCAAAGGAAUUGACGGGGACCCGCACAAGCGGUGGAUGAUGUGGAUUAAUUCGAUGCAACGCGAAAAACCUUACCUACCCUCGACAUGCCAGGAACUUGCCAGAGAUGGCUUGGUGCCCGAAAGGGAGCCUGGACACAGGUGCUGCAUGGCUGUCGUCAGCUCGUGUCGUGAGAUGUUGGGUUAAGUCCCGCAACGAGCGCAACCCUUGUCGUUAAUUGCCAUCAUUUAGUUGGGCACUUUAGCGAGACUGCCGGUGACAAACCGGAGGAAGGUGGGGAUGACGUCAAGUCCUCAUGGCCCUUAUGGGUAGGGCUUCACACGUCAUACAAUGGUCGGUACAGAGGGUCGCCAAGCCGCGAGGUGGAGCCAAUCCCAGAAAGCCGAUCGUAGUCCGGAUUGCAGGCUGCAACUCGCCUGCAUGAAGUCGGAAUCGCUAGUAAUCGUGGAUCAGCAUGUCACGGUGAAUACGUUCCCGGGUCUUGUACACACCGCCCGUCACACCAUGGGAGCGGGUUCCGCCAGAAGUAGGUAGCCUAACCGCAAGGAGGGCGCUUACCACGGCGGGGUUCGUGACUGGGGUGAAGUCGUAACAAGGUA
rnacentral:rRNA from 1 species